GCUAAAUAUUGGUCGGAAGGACUUUGUUGCGACUGGAUAAGUGGGCAGAAGAGGUUCUGGUACAAGAGAACAAAGGACGGGUAAUUUCUACGACCAUGGCAGCAUCUCAACAGUUCCUGCUGCCCGAUAUCUGCUGGGUCGCCUAGCUGCCGAUAAUCGGAUCGUUUGCUCAGCGGCUCCGGAUCGGAUCCCGAGUCACAGGGCAUCACACCCAGAGCACGUCCACAACGUCGAGUCGUCACACCUGUUAAGGAACAAAGUCUGAUCCCACGACCGCUGUAAUAACGAGUGUGGUGACUGUGGUGGCAAAGGCUCAGCGUGACCUCCCUUCACCUCUGGGAUGGGGAACAAGGACAGCAGGCAAGUAGCUUCCUUUCUGGAACAUUCCCAUGGGUCUUGGGUGACUAUAUGUAUAUGAGUCGUGCCGACCACGCCAUCCAUUCACCCUACUCAGCCUCCCUUGUGGAACGCAGGCCAUCAUUGUUCUCUCUGCUGAUGGGAUGCCGCACUUCUCCGAAAUAAUUACCCAGCAUCCUGCUGGGGUGGCUUUCCUUUUCAUCGCCUAUGAUGGCUGCUUCUUCAUUGCCUUUUUUAAGCCCCGGCCGGGACACGGCAUGUGGAAUCAAGAGCUGGGUGGUGGAUGAAGAGGAAGAUGGCCAUCUUCUCCACGACUGCAAUGACAAAGGUGGUGGGCCUUUGAUGUCACUCUGCGAUUUAUCAGAUUGCCUUAUUGGGAAGUGUUCUUUCAUCUGGCUUUAAAGAGCAUCCCGCUUUCUUGCAUAGAUUUUGCUAUGCAAAUCGUGUCUUAAUAUUUGAGUAUUACAAACUAAUGACAUAUGCCCCUACUGAUAUCGAUCUGAAACCUUGGCCGACGUUCCCCUUGGUAUCCAGUUCGGUCCUCAGUUGGAGUCGUUUUUAUUUUCUUCAUAAUGCCUGCUCUUCAAAGAGCUCUGGACUUUAAUGCCCACUGUGGUUUUCAUUAAUGGCUCUCUGGUCUGCAUGUGAAGCAGCAGACUUGUUGAACAAAAUACAAAUUUUUCACCCCAGGCCAACAGUUUGAUUUGUCAAACUCUCAGAAAAAAAAAGACUGAACUAGGAAAAAGCAGUAAUGGUGGAUAUGUACUGUAGAUGAAACAUGGAUUUUCAUCUCUCUCAUUUCGCACAACCAUCCAUCGGUUUCAUGACUGUUUACACAACAGGAUUGUUGAGAGCCUGGGGCUUGUUCCGGGAAGAACAGGGUACAACUCAGCAGGCACCUUUGAAAAGAUUCCAGGCCAUCGCUGGGCACACGCAAGCUAUGGACAAUUUAAAGAAGCCAAAGUAUUUCUUUGGACUGUAGGAGGAAACCAGAGUACUGAGAGGAAACAAGCAGAACACGGGGAGAACAUGCAAACUCCUCCAGAGCGGGGGCAGGAUUCAAAACUCCAGCACUGGAGUUGUAAGGUAGCAGUACUACCCACUGAGACAACACAAAAACAACACAAACACACAACCAAUUAGAACAGAUUUUUGGUUACCAUAGUUUCUAUUGUGAUGUCACAAUCCGUGACUGAGUGACUGAGUAACCUGAGUUAGCGGCCCUCCUUGCUGUCUGUCUUGUGAGGCACGAUCAUGGGCCCAGUUCUUCUCUAGGGUCCCUCUGAUGUGGCAGUCCCCGGGACAGCAGUCCUGGGCCCCGCCCGACCGGCUCUCACCCGCAACAGUGGCCCCCAACUCCGGUCCGCGCCGACCCCAGUCUCUGCACUUCAUUAAGAGCUUAGCCGCAGAUGGUUUGCAUUUUCCAUUUAGGGAAUCUUCUCAUUUCCACAUGAUAUCAAAGAGGGUAAAAGUCUUUAAACUGAAAAAUAAACAUUCAUAGUCUCCAAAGCAAUAAUUAAUCUCAUGUGGGUCAGGCCAAUAAAUCACGAAGGCUCUUGAAACUCUUGAAGCUGUCCAGAGUCUUAUUCCAUCCGAAGUCUCUGCGGCAUCUGAAGAUAACACACUGAUCUUCAGAAGCUGGCAGUCAUUAGUAAGUGCUGCUAAUUAAAAUACUGAAGUUUUUCAUUAUUCAUGUUACACUUUUUAUUCAUAAAUAUGAUGUGAUAUAGAUCUGGUAUUUAUGGUUAAAUAUAGUUAGAUAUUAGAUAUUAAUACAGUUGUGGGGGAAACCCAGUAAGUGACAACUGGUAAUAUCCAUAUAAUUUUGUUUUUUCCUCAAAUGAGAAAGUCUACGUGUAGUGAAACUGGUGGCUCUUGUCAGUGCAUUGUCCAUCCAUCUCUCGAUCCAUCCAUCCAUCCUUCAUUUUUUCAGUGCCACUUACCUGGUUGAGGAUUGUGGUGAUCAGUAAGUCUGUCAGUAAUAUUGUUUUGUUGGCUUUCAUCCUGUGUAUUUCCCAUGUAGAGAAAUCCAUGAGGCAUAAUGGUCCACUCUUCUCGCCUAAACUUUCCUUUGAAGUUAAGCUUGUAUCUCCCGACAUGAGCUGCAUUCCCGAAGGCUGUAAACACACCCCUGCCUGGCCUCAGAAGGCUUCACAGACCAUGCUUGUCCACCUUAUUUGCCCCAUGAGCUCCCAUGGGCCGAGUUUAAUGGUUCCGCAAACUGUUCUCACCUCUUUAUUUUUCAAAUGUGCCUCUACCAUUUUGUGUUUUGUUUGUCUACCCAUGACUGUUUGUUUAAAAUAUUUGUGUUCAGCUUUGAACAAGUCAGAGGAGCAUUUAAACAGAGCCCUUAUAAAUCAAAUGAUUCACGAUUUGGAAAACAGUGCCGUCUGCAGAAGGGCCGAGUUCUCUUCCCCCAAAUAGCCCGAGAGCGGCUGAGAUGUAAUAAAUCUCCCAGGUCUGUCUCUGUCUGCUCUGUAGCCCUCCGGUGUCCCCAGGGCUGUGUGUGAUCACGGGGCAGACAUCAAAGUGCGUGUGCCUGACACAGACACGCUGGAUGACUCACUUCCCUGGUCCUACGAGCAGGCACACCUGUGCGGGGGUGAUUGCAGGUGGACCCGGCUGCCUGUAAUUGGAUGACGAGGGGGGCAGUUGGCCCCUAAUGACCGGUGGCCUGCUGCUAGGACUCUGGGUUGCCGCUGACACCAAAGAUUUCCUCCUGCAAUGCAGCAUCACACGCAAGAGUGACAUAAAGAAGGAUGCUGAACAUGGAACAAACAGCCUACUGUAUUUAAUGCAAAUGCAAAGGAACUCAGACUCUUUACAGCAGUCUUUGCAUAAAAUCAGGGGUGUCACUAGAGAUU